AAUCUGUCCCAGCCACGAGAGCCAAGUGAGGAGCCCAGGACAGGCCCCGGGCCUUGGUGAGCCACAGCCCCUGCGGCUGCAUCUGACAGGGCUGGCAGCUGGACUGCCCACCCCUUCACCUGCUGGGACACCAUGGCCUGGGCCAGGCAGCAAUUCAAGAAGGACUGGGCUCUCUGAGUUACCCCCGAGGUGGUGCGCUCCUCCCCUUCCCAACCCUCAGUAUAACAGCCGCAUGCACCAGGCACCACGCACUGCUCUGUCUCCAUGAGUGACUCAAUCAGCCCUCACACAGCCUGUGGGCUGGGUGCUGGUAUCAUCCUUGCUUUACAAAUGCAGAAACUGAGGCACAGAGAGGUGACGGCGAUGGCCCAGGAGCAGGACCUGAUGCCCGGCACUCUGGCGCCAGGCCGCUGCGCUCAGUCACCCCCACCCUCUCCCAGCUGCUUCGCCUUAUUUUGGUUUUGGGUUUUUUUUUCCUUUGGGGGUUUUUGCUUUGUUCUGUUUUGUUUCUGUGAGCCUCCAAUAUCCACGGCCCUGCACACCUCUUAUCUCUAAGAAUCUCCAUGAAUCCUGGCAACCACCUCACAAGCAGGGGCGCCACUAUUAGCCCCAUUUAACAGAUGAGGAAACUGAGGCUUAAAUGACCCACUCAGGGGCAGCCAGCAAGGACGAGGCAGAGCCAGAGUCAGGUUUGGACCUGGGUCUGAGGGCUCUUUCUACAGUGCCAGCUCAUCUGCCUUAUGUGGCAGAGACCUUUGAUGGACCAGAGGUAGGGAAAAGUCACCCCAAACUUAGCUCUGGGUCUCUGCUGGCCUCAAAAGAGGGGGCUAAGGGGGCACUUGGUGCCAUAGAACAGUCAG
rnacentral:lncRNA from 1 species